UCCGCAAUAGUUUAGUGGCUAGAAUUUCCGCCUGUCAGGCACGCGGGGGACCGGAGUUCAAUUCUCCGUUGCGGAG
rnacentral:tRNA from 3 species